CCCUUAGAUGUUCUGGGCUGCACGCGCGCUACACUGAAGCGUUCAACGAGUAUUCACCUUGCCCGGGAGGGUUGGGUAAUCUUUUGAAAACGCUUCGUGAUGGGGAUAGAUUAUUGCAAUUAUUAAUCUUCAACGAGGAAUUCCUAGUAAGCGCGAGUCAUCAGCUCGUGCUGAUUACGUCCCUGCCCUUUGUACACACCGCCCGUCGCUCCUACCGAUUGAAUGGUCCGGUGAAAAUUUCGGAUAGUGGCGAUGCUGGCGGUUCGCCGCCGGCGCUGCCGCUAGAAGAUCUUUAAACCUUAUCAUUUAGAGGAAGGAGAAGUCGUANCA
rnacentral:rRNA from 1 species